GGAGGAUCCGAGCGUUAUCCGGAUUUAUUGGGUUUAAAGGGUGCGUAGGCGGCCUUGUAAGUCAGGAGUGAAAGACGGUAGCUUAACUAUCGCAGUGCCUUUGAUACUGCAGGGCUUGAAUGUACUUGAGGUAGGCGGAAUGUGACAAGUAGCGGUGAAAUGCAUAGAUAUGUCACAGAACACCAAUUGCGAAGGCAGCUUACUAAAGUAUGAUUGACGCUGAGGCACGAAAGCGUGGGGAUCAAACAGGAUUAGAUACCCUGGUAGUCCACGCCCUAAACGAUGAAUACUCGAUGUUGGCGAUAUACAGUCAGCGUCAAAGCGAAAGCGUUAAGUAUUCCACCUGGGGAGUACGCCCGCAAGGGUGAAACUCAAAGGAAUUGACGGGGGCCCGCACAAGCGGAGGAGCAUGUGGUUUAAUUCGAUGAUACGCGAGGAACCUUACCCGGGCUUGAAAGUUAGUGAAUGAUACAGAGACGUAUCAGCCCGCAAGGGCACGAAACUAGGUGCUGCAUGGCUGUCGUCAGCUCGUGCCGUGAGGUGUUGGGUUAAGUCCCGCAACGAGCGCAACCCCUGUGUUUAGUUGCCAGCACGUAAUGGUGGGGACUCUAAACAGACUGCCUAUGCAAAUAGAGAGGAAGGAGGGGACGACGUCAAGUCAUCAUGGCCCUUACGUCCGGGGCUACACACGUGCUACAAUGGGCAGUACAGAGGGCAGCUACCGUGCAAGCGGGUGCCAAUCUCAAAAAGCUGUUCACAGUUCGGAUCGGGGUCUGCAACUCGACCCCGUGAAGUUGGAU
rnacentral:rRNA from 1 species